UUGAUAGCUCAGUUGGUAGAGCGUGAGACUCCAGAGUCGUGGGUUUGACCCCCACAUUGGCAAAA